AGCCUGAUCCAGCAAUGCCGCGUGCAGGAAGAAGGCCUUCGGGUUGUAAACUGCUUUUGUACGGAACGAAACGGUCUGCCCUAAUACGGUGGGCUAAUGACGGUACCGUAAGAAUAAGCACCGGCUAACUACGUGCCAGCAGCCGCGGUAAUACGUAGGGUGCGAGCGUUAAUCGGAAUUACUGGGCGUAAAGCGUGCGCAGGCGGUUAUAUAAGACAGUUGUGAAAUCCCCGGGCUCAACCUGGGAAUUGCAUCUGUGACUGUAUAGCUAGAGUACGGUAGAGGGGGAUGGAAUUCCGCGUGUAGCAGUGAAAUGCGUAGAUAUGCGGAGGAACACCGAUGGCGAAGGCAAUCCCCUGGACCUGUACUGACGCUCAUGCACGAAAGCGUGGGGAGCAAACAGGAUUAGAUACCCUGGUAGUCCACGCCCUAAACGAUGUCAACUGGUUGUUGGGUGCAUUAGUACUCAGUAACGAAGCUAACGCGUGAAGUUGACCGCCUGGGGAGUACGGCCGCAAGGUUGAAACUCAAA
rnacentral:rRNA from 1 species